AUUGUCCCUUAUAAAUUACAGCUUCUGGCACCUCGGGUUUGCUGUGCUUUAUUCCUGAUGUGAAGAGAUGUUUUGCAAGAGGAGAAAGAGGAAAUUGCAAAGACUUUCUCAGGCACCAGUCUGCUCCCAUCAGAAACAGAAUUGUUCUACUUCUGCAAACACAUCAGCUCUCAUCAAGGCAAAAUUCUCUCCACUUUCCUGGAGGAGAAAAUCACUGGAAAUGCUUUGUGGCAUCGGUUUUCCUAGGCUUACUUGA
rnacentral:lncRNA from 1 species